rnacentral:rRNA from 1 species
GUGGGGAAUUUUGGACAAUGGGCGCAAGCCUGAUCCAGCCAUGCCGCGUGCAGGAUGAAGGCCUUCGGGUUGUAAACUGCUUUUGUACGGAACGAAAAGACUCUGGUUAAUACCUGGGGUCCAUGACGGUACCGUAAGAAUAAGCACCGGCUAACUACGUGCCAGCAGCCGCGGUAAUACGUAGGGUGCGAGCGUUAAUCGGAAUUACUGGGCGUAAAGCGUGCGCAGGCGGUUAUGUAAGACAGAUGUGAAAUCCCCGGGCUCAACCUGGGAACUGCAUUUGUGACUGCAUAGCUAGAGUACGGCAGAGGGGGAUGGAAUUCCGCGUGUAGCAGUGAAAUGCGUAGAUAUGCGGAGGAACACCGAUGGCGAAGGCAAUCCCCUGGGCCUGUACUGACGCUCAUGCACGAAAGCGUGGGGAGCAAACAGGAUUAGAUACCCCGGUAGUCC